UACAGAAGCCCCAAGCGUUACCCGGAUUUACUGGGCGUAAAGGGUGCGUAGGCGGUCAUGUUAGUCAGGUGUCAAAUCCUGGGGCUCAACCCCAGGCUCGCAUUUGAAACGGCAUGACUUGGAGAAGUGAGAGGUACACAGAACUCACGGUGUAGGGGUGAAAUCCGUUGAUAUCGUGGGGAAUACCAAAUGCGAAGGCAGUGUACUGGCACUUUCUCGACGCUGAGGCACGAAAGCGUGGGUAGCGAACGGG
rnacentral:misc_RNA from 1 species